UAGGCUAUGGGACUAUGAGAGGACUCCGAGACGGUGUCCAAGUGAGAUGGCUGGCGAGGUUGUUCGAGGUCAUUUCAUGAUGAGGAUGGACCAGACUUUAAGACAUUCUGAGCUCCAUGAAUGUCAUGAGACACUCCAGGAGACGGUGGUUGCAAUGCAUUAUCAACACCCCGCAACCCCAACCCUCCAAUGGAACCCAGAACCCUCCGGAGUUCCUCAGGACCUGUCGAAGCCUGAAAUAGAUUCUUUGAGAAUCUUAAAAGUCAAACAACUGGGCCUUGCGGGGAAGACUGAUGACGUGAGAAAAAAAGGA